rnacentral:snRNA from 1 species
GUGCUCACUUCGGCAGCACAUAAUACUAAAAUUGGAAUGAUACAGAGAUUAGCAAGGCCCCUGUGCAAGGAUGACAUAUGCAAAUUCAUGAAGCAUUCCAUAUUAAA